rnacentral:rRNA from 1 species
CAAUAGCGUAUAUUAAAGCUGUUGCGGUUAAAAAGCUCGUAGUUGGAUUUCUGUCAAGGACAACUGGUCCGCCCUCCGGGUGAGCACAUAGUUUGGUCUUGACAUCUUGCUGGAAGCUGUUGCUGCACUUGGCUGUGUGGCGCAGUGUUCAGCACUUCCACUUUGAGGAAAUUGGAGUGUUUCAAGCAGGCACAUGCCUUUGGACACAGUAGCAUGGAAUAAUUAGAUUGGGCUUUUGCUCCAAUUUGUCGGUUUCUGGAGCUGAGGUGAGUAUUAAUGGGGAUUGUUGGGGGCAUCCGAAUUUAGCCGUCAGAGGUGAAAUUCUUGGAUCUGCUAAAGACGGACAACUGCGAAAGCGUUUGCCCAGGAUGUUUUCAUUGA